AUUGAACGCUGGCGGCAUGCCUUACACAUGCAAGUCGAACGGUAACAGGUCUUCGGAUGCUGACGAGUGGCGAACGGGUGAGUAAUACAUCGGAACGUGCCCGAUCGUGGGGGAUAACGGAGCGAAAGCUUUGCUAAUACCGCAUACGAUCUACGGAUGAAAGCAGGGGACCGCAAGGCCUUGUGCGGACGGAGCGGCCGGUGGCAGAUUAGGUAGUUGGUGGGAUAAAAGCUUACCAAGCCGACGAUCUGUAGCUGGUCUGAGAGGACGACCAGCCACACUGGGACUGAGACACGGCCCAGACUCCUACGGGAGGCAGCAGUGGGGAAUUUUGGACAAUGGGCGCAAGCCUGAUCCAGCCAUGCCGCGUGCAGGAUGAAGGCCUUCGGGUUGUAAACUGCUUUUGUACGGAACGAAAAGACUCUGGUUAAUACCUGGGGUCCAUGACGGUACCGUAAGAAUAAGCACCGGCUAACUACGUGCCAGCCGCCGCCGUAACAC
rnacentral:rRNA from 1 species